rnacentral:rRNA from 1 species
CAGCACCUCAAGUGGUCAGGAUGAUUAUUGGGCCUAAAGCAUCCGUAGCCUGCUUUGUUAGUUUUCGGUUAAAUCCAUACGCUCAACGUAUGGGCUGCCGGGAAUACUGCAAAGCUAGGGAGUGGGAGAGGUAGACGGUACUCGGUAGGAAGGGGUAAAAUCCUUUGAUCUAUUGAUGACCACCUGUGGCGAAGGCGGUCUACCAGAACACGUCCGACGGUGAGGGAUGAAAGAUGGGGGAGCGAACCGGAUUAGAUACCCGAGUAGUCC